AGCAUCGUAACUCAGCGGCAGAGUGCUGGGCUCAUAUGAAGGAACCCAGAGGUCACUGGAUCGAAACCAGUCGAUGCUA